rnacentral:rRNA from 1 species
ACACGACUACAUUAGAUACCCGUGUAGUCCAGGGUGUAAACGCUGCAGACUUGGUGUUGGAAAUCCUUCGAGGGUAUUCAGUGCCGGAGAGAAGUUGUUAAGUCUGCUACUUGGGGAGUACGUCCGCAAGGAUGAAACUUAAAGGAAUUGGCGGGGGAGCACCACAACGGGUGGAGCCUGCGGUUUAAUUGGACUCAACGCCGGAAAUCUCACCGGAUAGGACAGACAUAUGAUAGUCGGGCUGAAGACUCUACUUGAUGAUCUG